UACAGAGGGGGCAAGCGUUGUUCGGAAUUACUGGGCGUAAAGGGCGCGUAGGCGGCCUUCUAAGUCGAACGUGAAAUCCCCGGGCUCAACCGGGGAACUGCGUCCGAUACUGGCGAGGCUUGAAUCCGGGAGAGGGAUGUGGAAUUCCAGGUGUAGCGGUGAAAUGCGUAGAUAUUGGGUGGAACACCGGUGGCGAAAGCGGCUCUCUGGUCCGGACCUGACGCUGAGGCGCGAAAGCGUGGGGAGCAAACAGG
rnacentral:rRNA from 1 species